AUCCGUUGAAGUGAAGUCAGUUACCAUGGAAACGAGGCUACAAGGAACAACAGAAAGCGGCAAAGCUCCGUGUCUCUAUGGUUAUCUUCACUUUUUCAGAUUUGUCCAUGCUGAUGGCCAUGCAGCAGAGUUCAAGCAAACCUGUCAGAAAACAUCUCUAAGGGGCUAUGUAUGAACCAUAUGGCUAGAUACCCAUACAAGUUACAGAAGCUCCAGUAUGGAUCCAGCCUCACUUGUAAAGACUUCAGAUGACGCCUACACUCUCAGAGACUUCAGAUGAUGGCAACUAGAUGGACAUACAAAACUGCCAAACAUUAUAUAUAUAUUGCACUCACUGCCUCAAAGCAUAGGUUUGCAGAUUUUCAACCCACGUUAUAUUUUUACAAUAAAUUGGGGUAUUUGAAAAGACAAUGUUAACGCUUUUUUUUCUUGAGUUAAACUUAAAUUCCCAAUUAGUUCUUGACAAUACUCUGCCAGAUGACAGAUUUCAUAUUACAGACAUUGGAACAAUACAAAGUGGGUUGGAAAUCUGUAAACUUCCUUUAUAAUCAUAAUUGUCUGUUUAACUGAGCAUGACUUGAAACACAUGCCUUGUAUUAUCUUAGAGCUAAAUGAUUGCUGUAUUAGCAUUACUUCGUUACUUAAUGAGAUUAAUGCGUAUCCCUAGUUUCACAGACAAGUCUUAAGCCUAUAGUCCUAGACUAAGACACAUGUUUGAGCUGUCUCAAUUGAAAAGAACUUUUAAUGCGAGAUUUUAAAAUAAACCAGUGCCAGUGAUUUGUCUUAAGAUAGACACCAGUAACAAUUUUUUUCUAAGGAAUGUUUAUUAAAGAUGCUUAAACAUCUUAAUUUAACUAAGGCAUAGUCUAGUAGCUUUAGCUAAGCCCUGUCUGUGAAACCAGGCCUUUAUACAUUUUCUUAAUGCAUUAAGAUAUGUAAGUUGAAUUAAAAGAUUAAAUUCGGUUUAAACUUUAUUGGUAAAACAUACCAAGCAGAUUAGCCCAGAAAAUAAACCAAAUGUGUUAAAUUACAGUUUGCUGGACUAUUGUAUGAAUUUAAUAAUUAUUAAAAUCCUCAUACUUGUUUGACAAAUUAAUAUAUCAUUAUUGAGAACUGAGAUAGGUGGUAUUAUUAAAUAUUUGGUUUAACACCUUACAAUGAUUUUAAUUACCAUGCAAAGUGUUACAUUUCUUUGGCAUAUUGUUUAGUUUUGUUUUGUUUUUAGUAAACGUUUCCAGUGUUUGUAUACAAUUAUUUUAACUUGAUAUAUCUGUUAUGGCGUCUUUGACAAGCUAUUAAACUUUUUUUUUUUUUUGUACAUUAUUUCAUUGUUCAUAAUAUAUAUGUUUGUCAGUUAGACGUUUUGUCAUAUUAGGUUGCAUUAAAUUAAAUCCUUGUAGGUCUUAGCAUAAGAUAUUUUCUCCAGUGAUUUGUCAGUGUAGCUAACGGGUCCUUAGAAGAAUUGUGUUAAACAUGAGUUCAAAGCCUACUGGAAAUCUACUACAUAUUUUGCGAACCUACAGUUCAAGUCUACCUCCAGAAGGAUUGAGAGCUCUCAGGUUUGAUGAUUAACGCGUUCUUUCUGUAAACGCCCAACGCGUUUCGGCACGUGCAACAUGAGAGGU